CCUGGUGCUGAGUCAUCUUAACCACAGGACGUAGAUGUUGCGUGGAAUCCCUCCAUGCCCUGGCGGAUCUGCUGGUGCAAGGGACACUGUGAGCCUCGGUGGAGUGUGAAGGUGGAGGCAUCUAAAGCCCUGUAUUUCUUGCUAGUGGACAAAGUGACUGGACCAUUGUGCAAUUUUUGGACUACUGGUUCUGGGAGCUCCUGAGUCAACCCUGCUUUACAACAGAGUUUCGGUUCUGAGUUUCAUCAUCGUCUCUGGCUUCAUUAAGGGAGACCUGCGCAACUGGAAGCUCACGGAACAGGACUACACAUUGGACACGUCUGUAUCCAGUGGCACCUCUAGGGGAAGAAGCCCUCAAUCCUCAGCGGUCCAUCCCCGUGAGCACCAUGAUCACGAUCUUCAUCUGCUUUGUGGUGUGCUUUGGUGUCUCAGCAGCACUCACCCUCACAGUGCCCUACUGCCAGAUCCGUCCUGAGAGCCCCUGGCCAGAGGCUUUCCUCCUUGUUGGGUGGGGCCCUGCCAGAUAUGUCGUGGCUGUUGGCGCCCUCUGUGCUCUUACGUCCAGUCUCCUAGGUGAUGUGUUCCCCAUGCCUCGGGGGAUGUACGUGAUGGCAGAGGAUGGAAUCCUUUUUCAGGGACUUUCCAGAUCCACGACUGCACCCGAAUACCCAUCAUGGCCAUCAUGUCUUCUGGCAUCUUUGCAGGUGAGACUCCACUACACCUUGGCUGGGGGUCAUGAACUCAAGAGGAGCUAAGAUUCUUCUAGCUUCGUGUCCUGCAUCUGCUGAAGUUGGCAAAGAGUUGGAUUAACUGUCUGAUAUUGGAUAAGUAUAGGGGCUGCUGUCAAUCCUGCCUUAAUAUCCUUUCACUCGGGUACCAGCCAGAUCAGAAUUGCAGCAAGAAGGAGAGAACAGAGUAGGAAAU